GAGAAUAUAGAUCAGUGGUAGAGCGCGUGCUUAGCAUGCACGCAGCCCUGGGUUCCAUCCCCAGUGCCUCCA
rnacentral:tRNA from 1 species